GCUUAGCAUGAAGUGAAGCACAUACACCUGCUGAAUUUAAGCAUAUAAGUAAGUGGUGGAAAUUAAACCAAAUGGGAUAUCUUUAGUAAUUGCGAAUGAACAAGGAUAUGCUUAGCUUGACAAAUGGAGCUAUUGGCUUUGAAUUGUAUUGUGGAAAUGUAUUACCAACAGAGGUGCAGGUGCCAGCCUAUUGAAAUAAAGCGUCAAUGAGGGUGAGAAUCCUGUUUGUCAUGUGCAGCCCUUUGUGCACGGUGUAUAUUUGCUGAGUCACACUCCUUGGCAUUGGAAUGCAAAGUGGGUGGUAAGUUUCAUGUAAAGGUAAACAUGCAAUUGAGACUGAUAGCACACAAGUACCAUGAGGGAAAUAUGAAAAGGACUUUGAAAAGAGAAUUAAAUGAGUUUGUAUUUGCUGAACACAAAGUAAACAGACUUGAUUUGCUUGGUGGGAGUGUUGCACUUGCUUGACAAGAGCUUUGGGCUGUGGGUGUAAUGAUUCUUUCUUUGCAUGCCAGUUUCUAUUUGUACAUCUGAUUACCUUUGCACAUGAAUGAUAAGUCUCCUGUGGGGGGUGGAUUGCAUGUGCAUGUAAUGAUUUGUGUUUUGAUACAUGUUUCUGGUGUAUAUGUGUGUGUUCCUGUGCUUGGGGAUGCUUCCUUCCUUGGACUUACAAGCCCUGACACACACAUGCUGGCAAAAUGCUUCUGCUUGACCCGUCUUGAAACACGGACCAAGGAGUCUAACAGAUGUGCAAAGUUUGAAGGUGGUAUACCUGUGUGUGCAAUGAUCGUGUCAGCUGGGAUAUGUGCACCAGCACCCAAUUAAUUAGCGGACAGAGGUUUGAGUUGGAGCAUAUCUAUUAGGACCCGAAAGAUGGUGAACUAUGCCUGAACAGAAUGAAUUCAGAGGAAACUCUGAUGGAGGUUCGUAUCGAUACUGACGUGCAAAUCGUUCGU
rnacentral:rRNA from 1 species